UGGCAGUUCGUGACUGAAAAUCGUGAAGUUGUUGCAACUUUCAAAAUAUACGUGCAAUUGUUCUCGUGAGUAAUUGCAGUUUUGAGGAAACCUUUUUGUUUUCUGAUUGCAAAUGCAAAUGCCGAGUAGCACUUGGGAAUCUCCUUGAAAAUGUUCGAGAUCAUUUGUAUGGCGCUGAAACGCAUCCUGACAUCCAGGCAACGUAUAUUAAUCUGGGAUUACCAUCGAACGUGCGACUAAUUUAAUUUUUCGUCUCCCCUUCUCGCGAUCUGCUCCUUCGUGACCCUUCGGCCCGUUGUCAAUUGCAGGUCGACACCUUUGCCCCGUCGCGUGCGCCUAAUCGCUUUAGAAUUAACUGCACCCCUGCGUGCUUUUGUGGGGGCCUGCGAUAUCUCGGGGACGAGGGCUCGGUGAACAGAAUUCGCUCCCAGUUUCCUUUUAAUUUGACAAUCAAACGCAUCGCCUGACACGCAACAGUGUCUCCAAACAUAUUUGAAAUUCUAAAGCCCAAAUUGAGAUGCGAUCUCACGGUCAAUUCUUAAUUUGUUAGCAACAUAGAUCUAGGGGACGUAGAGAAAUACAACAGUACGAGAGAGUUGAUACAUGCUCGUUACGUAAAUUGUGUUAUACAAUAAUUAUAAAAUUGGAAGUAGGAAUGUGAGAAACGAUGAAAGAGCAGCAAAACAGAUGUCGGAAAGAAAGCUGUUCCUAUCGAUCAAUUGAUGACUGCAGUUGACCUAAACCUAGCCCAACGUUUGCGAGUAUGUCGUACAGGGGAACAGGAACGGUGAGGAACGGCGAAAAAGCGUCAGAUCAGGCAUCGCGGCCAAAUCGAAAACUGUGACGUUGCCCGGCAUUUGGUACAAUUUUUUCCAUGAAGUUAAUGUUAAUCAGUGGCUGACGUGACGUGGAUGGAGGGUGCUCGACUGGAUUUCAUGUCGGCCGCUGCCAGGCUUGUACAGCCUGUAUGCCAUAAACGUGCUGCCAUAAGUACUUUGGCAAUAUACAUCCCGGCAUCGGGACUCAUCCAUUACAACAGGCUAGCGCGUGAUCGUGCAGCCACUCGUGGAGCACCGGCGCGCAACGCAGAAUCAUUUUGUACCGUUCAUUUCGGAACGGCAAUCCACCACCGGCGAAACUUUCCCAUAUUUUCGCCCGGUUCUUUUUCCGAAACGGACCCGCGAAAAAUGACUGAGUUUUUAUUGCCUCUAUGAAACACACACACACACGAACGUGCACACACAAGGCUCGAAGUGCUGUUCGAGUGGAUAACGAAUUUUCGACGGUCCAUGACGAUCCUCGAGGACCUAGCUACGCCGUUGCCAUUGUUGCAUGUUUUCAAAGUUCAUUCGCCUGUUGAUUGACAAAUUUUUGACUAGGUGAAGCGGCAGAGAUCGAACGAUCACAGAAUUGAACGACACAUGCUGCUGGUUACCUAUGAAGAAGAAAGUUCCAAAAACGACUCGACGAUUUUAUAACUGUGAGAGAUUGAACGGUCAUAAAGAGAUUGAGAGUUGUCAACUUUUCAUCUGUUUAUUUGAGAACUAUUUGAUUUCAAGGAAGGAAAGGAAUCUUGAUCGCAAUGAUUUUCUAUUGGAGAACUUGAAGGACCAUAAACUGUAUUCCUUGGCUUUUAUUUAUUUUUUUGAAAAUAUACGUACGGUAAAAAAAAAGAAGAGACACGCAGUAAUUCAACAAGGUUGAUUAUCAUAGCUCUAUUAAAUUUCGUUGGAAGAACCUACAACCGCUUUCCAGAACAUUCUUGUGGCGUACUGAGUUUUUCUUAUUAUCUACCCAUCCAUCAUUAUACCAUCCAGCACAGUAAAAGGAUAAGGAUAUAUCCUCUGGAGAAUCUUUGUUCGUAACGACAGGCAACAAGAGAUCGUUGCACAAUGAGACCCGCAUAAGAGGCAUUAGGAAUAUGCGUAUAGAUAUCUCUAUACACAACCAGUGAUCUUCAGCGUAAUACAUUUGUUUGCGUAUUGACGUGAUAUUACAAUUCAACACCAGGAAAUAUAGAACGGACAGUAAGAUUCGAAUUCCAACAAUUAGCAAGAGCCAUCCGAGUGGCGCGUGAAGAAUUGUAGGAAGGAAGGAAAAACAAGAACUCAGCAGGAUUCCUGAAGGCAGCCACGAAAGCUAGAUACUCGGUCACAGUAAUACGACGUGUACGUGCUCACUGGCCGUGCACGAGUACGUACUUGCAGCCUUUCCUGGCUCGGUUUAAGACGGCAUUUCGAAGUGAUCCGCCAGCUUCCAGUCCAUCGAGCAACCGAUCCUGCCGCUACGUGCCCCUCGUAUAAUGCUCCUUCCUAAGCAUUUCUUCGUCGAUCCUUCUCCAUGGAUCCCUUCUUC